CCUGUAGUCAAUAUGACAAGAAAGUACUGGAUCAUAGUUUAAUUGGGAGCACUUUUGUUCUUUUGUAGUAAUUCACAAAUAAUGGUACAUCUUAGAACGGAUGGCAUCUAAGAUAGGAAGAAACAUGGGAACUCCGUGGGGAAGUGAGGGAGAAGUAUGAAUACCUGUGUCCAGGAGGGAGGAGGAAAAAGCUAAACCCUCAUCUUCCACAGUAACGGGUCAGCAGAUUAUUUGAAAAAUUAACAAAGUAAGGAUACAGCUUUAUAAACAUAUUAUUUAGAAUGAUUGCUGUAAAUACCAGGAGUACAGCUAAAAUCACAGACCGCGAUUGGCUUGUGGGAGCAGUAAGCAUGGGUAUGGGAGAAGUUUACUGGGUUGUGAUUUUUUCAUAAGCCUCGUAAACAUGUGAAUUUUUAAACUACAUAUAUGUAUUAGAAGUAAAAGCAGUAUAUAUAGAAAUGAAAUAAAUAAAACGAAGUGCUCCAUUUCAAGCCUCCCCAGAACAGAAGUUGUCGACUGUGAAAAUAGAAAGGAGUCUUUAUGGUCUCCUCUUUCAGGGCAAAGCGGCCAACAUUGACCUCCAUCCUGGGCUGGGGAUGAAGCGUGGCUACCGGGCGACAUGCAUAUUGCUUCACAUGCCACCUCUUGCCUCCCAUCUUAGGAAACUCAGCUGCUUGAUUUUUCACUCUCAGGAGAUGAGACAGCCGGUCUUGGGGGAAAGUGGAAACCGCAGCACACACGACGCAUUUUUCAAAUGCUUGUGUUACCCAGAGCCCUCGAGAACGAGAAAGGAAGCUGGCGGCUUGGCAGGUGUGGAGGCCCCUUCCCGCAGACAUCUGUCAGCGGCUGUGGAAGCCCAGCCCCCUCCUCUUUGCAGAGGAAGAGCCCUGGAUUCCUGGCAAGAGCAGGCAUCCGUUCCACCGGUAUGUUCCAGCUGCUCGUCAUCCUGGAAGGAGGGUGGAAAAGCAAGAGAAAGAUUCCUCCUGGUAGAGCCAGAGCCGCUUGCUCCUCAGAUGUCAGACCUACGCAGGAGUUUCUGCAGGCAGAGGCACCCCGCUGCACCCGGGGCAUGCGGGCACUGCCUGCCUCUGCGUGGGGGAGGGCACCAUCUGCGAUUCGGCCAGGGUCUGGGUGAGCCCGCUGACGGAAGUCGUGAUUUGGAAUAAGCACUUAGGGGUCGCGCGGUGGUCAGAGAGGCGAUCAGGCCCACCAGUUCUUAUCCCCUCCCGAUCAGGACCGAGGCUCAGCUGCUGUGACAUGCUACAGCCCACCACGUGUUCACGUGGAAACACUUCUACACGAUGUUGACCAUCUUAGUUGCCCUUUUUCACACCUUCCCAAGCAAAGGCCUCUGAAAGUGUGCCGCCCAGAACUGGACCUGAUCCGACCAGGGAAGGGAUCUUGUGGCCAAAGGGCAUUUGCUGUCUGCCUUGAUUUUAAAGUGUCUGCAUUCAAAGACUUGGCCGGCGCCGCCCCUCAGGAGCUGGGGUGCCUUCAGACAGACAUCACCUCCCACUUGAAUUCCGAGGGCGAACUCCAGAAUGGCCUUCCCACUCUCCCUGUCUCAGCUUAACUUGGCUUCUCUCUACGAUUUUCCAUUUUAAAAUUUGUGCUGUGCUCUUGAUUCCAAUGUAAAGGUUGUUUGUGAGUGCCUUUAGGAGUAAAGAUCAAGUUCAAAACCGAAAUACCACAAGAUGCCCAGCGGGAGCCACGUGGAGAAUCUUUCACUUACCUACCAAACCAGGCCAGGAGGCCCAAGAGGCCUUUGCCACUUCCAGCUGAGUCACCACCGGCUCCACACCUUCUGCUUUUUCCCCUGAAAAUGCUUUCCCGUCUCUGCUCAGUGACUAACUCCAUCACCAAUGUGACCCAGUUUGUUUGGCAAGAUGUGAUUUUUUUUAACUCACGCUGCUUUCACUGGUCACGACUCUCACAGGCAUUUAGCGGCUCCCUCUCGGCGUCCGUCUGGCCCUGCUGCCGUGCUGGAUUGAUGGCUCUCUCCCCAGCUGUUCCUUUCCAGCCUGCUCUCCUCUCCCUGGCAAAUCCAUAUUCCAUUUGCUUUUCUGCAGCAUUUUGAUAUCUCCAGAGUCUCCUUAAAAUAGACAGAUAAACACUAAUCUCCAAGGAAGUUGCAAAGCAGAGCCCACAGAUUUGUACCAGCUCGGUAAUCUGCUCUCGAGGGCAGCUGGCUGGAAAGCAUAACAAUGGGAGUCACCAUGGAUGGGCUGCUUAUCAUUUGCAGAGCAUUCUGACUCACGCGGUCUCAUUAAUGUACGCGAUCCCCCACAGCACAGGUACAAGUGGUCCUUCCAUUUUGUAGGUGGGAAAACAAGGCCAAGGGAUGAAGAAGUGGUCUGUACAGUAUGUAGCAGAGAGGGCCAGGACUUGAACCUGCCCUUUUUAAAACUGCUGUAUAAUUUACAUUCAGUAAAAAACACACAGAUCUUCAGUGUCGUUUGAUGAAUUUGACAAAUGUAUACACUUGUGUAACUACCACCAGGAAAGGAUAUGGAACAUUUCCAUCACCCAGAAAGUCCCCUCGUGCCCUUUUCCAGUAAACUCCUAACCACUGUCUGACUUCUACACCAUAGAUUAGUUUGCCUUGAACCUGUCUUCUGACUCCAAACUCCAUAUUCCACGUCCCGUCCUUCUUCCAUUACACAUUACACCUUUGAAAUUAACUCAAUAGGCACCUUGGGUCCCACCUGGCUGGAAUCUAUAGACAUAGGACUUUAGGAAGCCAGGCCAUUGUCUUUCAGCUGAAAAAGUAGGUCAACUGGUGGAGUGGACCUGGAGGCUCACGACUUGGGGAAUGCAUGGAGAGCAAUUCCAAAACCACACAAAGGCCCUGUCUCUAGGUACACUGUGAAGUUGAACGCACUGCUUGCAGGCCUCAGCACUUCCAGGUACAGACGGUUCCUGAAGGAAAACUGUUACAAGGUUUAAAAGAGAGGGGUCAGAAUUCAGCUUUGAGAUAAAAGAACACCAAACUGCAGUCCCGACCUCUGGGACCUCCCCACCCACCCUGAACUGCCGCAGCAUCUGGGGCCACCAGUUCCAGGCAACAUCCUGAAUUUUCACACCAGACUCCUGUGGACUUUUCAUGCCAUCAGGCAUGUGUAAUCUGUAAACGGGGAGUUUUGCGACUGGAGGCCUCCAUUUUAGGGAAAGAAAAAAAAAGAAAGGAAAGAAAGAAUGAAAGCCCAUUCUGUUACUUCCGAGGAUAGGCGGUAAAUGGCACUAACGCUGAGUCCCUUUAGGUGGCAUUCCUAUCAGGCUUUCCUUAAUGAAGGGAUACAAAAUACAGUUAACCUUGUCUGCUUAUCUGCCCACAGUUUUACGCUAAACUCUUUGUUCGCUCCGGUAGGUCAACUGGUUGCUCGGAUCUUGUUUAUACGCAGUGGCAGUGGCGCGCUGGUAAAUGUUUAACAGCUGACUCUCCGGGAGGAAAAAAGCCCUGUUUUGUAGCAUUUGCCGAUCUCCACCUGUCCCUGACAGCGGGUUGGGAGACAGCCCGUGUGCCCCGGCUCAGCACGCUUGCAAGUUCAAUAAUACCUUUAAGAGAGCACACCAUUUCCCCACAGGCAGCACGGAGAAGCGUGGCGCGGGCGGCGCUGCCGGCACCCCAGUGAUCUCCAGGGCACGCGAUUUGUGGGCGGCCCUGUCUGUGCCCUCCGCCUGCUCCUCCAGGCUCUCCCAGGGCGGUUUUCUCUCUCCAAAAGAUAGGUUGUACAGGUGACAGUUUCCAAGGGCCUCCUCCCCUGAGCUGGAAUUUCCAAACAAACCUUCAAAGUCAUUUUUGAAGCGCAGAAUAAACAUAAACUAGCCCGAGAUGAAUUUCCACAAAUCUCCAAGCCCGGGAAUCUGGAUCCCCAGCCUCCACCCUUCUUACAUGGCCUCAUUGAACGGCUGGUCUUUUAAGAGUUUUUAGAACAACCCUAAACACCCAGCUUUCUUGCUCUGUUUUGUUUUUUCUUUAG
rnacentral:lncRNA from 1 species